rnacentral:rRNA from 1 species
GACGAACGCUGGCGGCGUGCUUAACACAUGCAAGUCGAACGAGUGGCGAACGGGUGAGUAAUACGUGGGAACCUGCCCUCCUUUUUGGGAUAAGCCUUGGAAACGGGGUCUAAUACCGAAUACUGAUGGAUGGACCCGCGGUGCAUUAGCUAGUUGGUGAGGUAACGGCUCACCAAGGCCACGAUGCAUAGCCGACCUGAGAGGGUGAUCGGCCACACUGGGACUGAGACACGGCCCAGACUCCUACGGGAGGCAGCAGUGGGGAAUAUUGCACAAUGGGCGCAAGCCUGAUGCAGCCAUGCCGCGUGUGUGAAGAAGGCCUUCGGGUUGUAAAGCACUUUCAGCGAGGAGGAGUUACUCGCAGAAGAAGCACCGGCUAACUCCGUGCCAGCAGCCGCGGUAAUUC